ensembl:misc_RNA Metazoa_SRP Metazoan signal recognition particle RNA
GCCAGGCAUCGUGGCUUAUGCCUGUAAUCCCAGCACUUUGGGAGGCAGAGGUGGGUGGAUCACCUGAGGUCAGGAGUUCAAGACCAGCCUGGCCAACAUGGUGAGACCCCAUCUCUA